AUACUUAUCUUGCAGGAGAGAUACCAUGAUCACGUAGGUGGUUUUCCCAGGAUGAGGCUCAUCCAUUACAUUCCGGAUGUGCUGACCCCUGCAAUUUCCCCAAAUGUGGGAAACUCAACUGCAUAAUUUGUGUUAGUGGGGGACUGUUUUUGUGCUCUCCCCCG
ensembl:snRNA U1 U1 spliceosomal RNA